AUUGAACGCUGGCGGCAGGCUUAACACAUGCAAGUCGAGCGAGCGGCGGACGGGUGAGUAAUGUCUGGGAAACUGCCUGAUGGACGGGGAUAACUACUGGAAACGGUAGCUAAUACCGCAUACCAUCAGAUGUGCCCAGAUGGGAUUAGCUAGUAGGUGGGGUAAUGGCUCACCAAGGCGACGAUCCCUAGCUGGUCUGAGAGGAUGACCAGCCACACUGGAACUAAGACACGGUCCAGACUCCUACGGAAGACAGCAGUGGGGAAUAUUGCACAAUGGGCACAAGCCUGAUGCAGCCAUGCCGAGUGUAUGAAGAAGGCCUUCGGGUUGUAAAGUACUUUCAGCGAGGAGGCGUUACUCGCAGAAGAAGCACCGGCUAACUCCGUGCCAGCAGCCGCGGUAAUAC
rnacentral:rRNA from 1 species